rnacentral:tRNA from 1 species
GCCUGGGUGGCUCAGUCAGUUAAGCAUCUGACUUCGGCUCAGGUCAUGAUCUCACAGUUUGUGGGUUCAAGUCCCAUGUCAGACU